GCUGGGAAGCAACAUGAGCGGGGAGGGAGGCCGGGCCUUGGGGUCCAGGGCCAAGCCCCGUCCCCACCUAGGCCUCCCCCGAGGGCACGGACAGGCAGCCCCAAGGCCCCCCAGCGACUGGAACUGGAGACAAGGUUACAGGAGCCUCUGGGAAGGGAGGACCCCCGUGGGGUCAGGACUCACCUGGGCUCCCCGCGACGCAGGUCCCCGAGAAGAAGGGGGUCAGAAGCAACAGCCACAGCAUCUGCAAAGAGAUGGGCACGGAGGGACAGCUCAGGGCAGGGGUGGGCCAGGGGCCUCUGCAGCCGUGUGAGAGGGGACAGCGCCCCUACCUUGCCAGGCUCCACGGGUCUCUGCUCUGGGGGCCCCCGAGGUCCUUUAUCUUUUGGCCACAGGAAGUGGGCGGUCGGCUUGGGCAGUGUUCCAUUUGGGGGGGGGGGGUGGGGGUGGAGGAUGGGGAAGAAAGGCAGCCGGGUGUCAGGCAGAGUGUGUGCAGGGGGGUGGGGAGCCGGUUCCCCAUCACACACCCGGGAGGCCAGACUCCCACCCUGGCCGCCCACCCUUGGCUGACUGCACUUCUCACGACACGUCUGAGCACCAGAGGCCGCAGAGCCCGUGGCAGGCCCGGCCCGGGGCGCUGUCCACCCACCCUGCCCCGCUUCCUGCCAGUGCAGUCACGUCUCUUCCCCCGCAUUGGCCUGCCGUCUGGGCCACGGUUGGAUCCCCGCACGUGGCGCAGCGCCCCUGUCCCCGGGCCUCCACCCCAUCCUGAGUGGACAAACCGGGCUUCACAGCCCACCUUCCCAGCUGCCACCAAUAGCACACAUCCCGGUGGCCCCCAAGGGGGCAAAUGAUGCAAUUUUUGUGGCGAGACACACGGUGUCCCCUAAGGGUCCCCCUGAUGCCGUAUUGAGGCAUGGGGAGGGCAGAGGUCCAUGGUCUGAGAUAGGUUCCUUGGACACCACCCAAGAGAGUUGAGUGUAAGCAUACGGCUCCUUCUACAUCAGCCAAUCCAGUCUACAUCAGGGACCCUGAACCCUGUGAGCCCCUUUUUCCUUCCAGCUUAGGGAAGCAGCCAGCCCUCCAGCAGCUUUUGCGUCAUGGCUGGGCCACCAAGGGUAAACGUCUGGCUGUCCACAUGCUGGCAGCCUUGGUCUAGCAAAUGUCAACAUGAGCAGCUGCUAUAUGGGGGAUUCUCCUCCAUUGUGAUCAGGGCCUGGGACAAAACAUGACGAGAGAGAGACAAGAGUGCCCUGUGCUCCUGGACAGGGCUGCAUGCACAGAGCAGAUAGCCUGAAGCCUGGGGAGAGGUGGACAAAGAGACAGGUAAGGAGAGAGAAACUGGAUGAGUGAUAGGGGAAUGGGGCAAGACUGAGAGAGUGAAAGGAAGAAACACAGAGAGGUGUGGUUAGAGAGAAACAGAGACAAAGAGGAAGUACAAGGAGAAAAGUGGAGACCUGGUCCAGGUAUGUGGACGGGGCGAGAUGGUCCAGGGGAGAGGGGAUGUGUGAAGUGGCUCUGAGUGUUGGGGCAGAAAGGGCUGGUAUCACGGGCAUCAUAGUUUCAUGACUCUAAGACUCCAACAUCCCUGGGGCCAAGCUCUGCAGAGGCCAUUGCAAUUGAAAAGAUGGGCAUCCGUCACUUCUCCCGGAUGUCAGGAGCUCAGCGUUGUGGGGCUCAGCGUUAUGUUCUGUCAUGGAGAAGGAUGUCUUCAGGGAGAGUGUGCUGCUCUUUGGCAGGUCCGGCAGUCUGCACCUGGCAGAGUUGAACGGCUGAUAGUGAUAAAAAGUAUUUGACAAGAAGGUCCGUAUUCUCCCUCUGGAAUGAGCUGUGUGCAUCCAAAUCGUGGGUUGCUAUGGUCCUGUCCACAACCAAUCUGAGGAUUCCAGAAGACACUAUUUGAACAAGACAUAUUUUACUGAAGGACUCAUGGAUUGCGGGGUCCCACGACAUCACCUCAUCGAUGCAGUCGAUGGUUUGUUCCGGAUUCAGGCUCGUUUGCGGGAUGAAACCCUGACAGAAAUUCAGAGGAACGGGAGCUGCAUUCCGUUAGGACGUGAAUACAUGAAAUGCUCAUCUCAGGACCUUCUAGAAGAACGAGCUGGCACCCAGUUUCUGCGUCCUGCUGGAAACAGAGACCGAGGU